CUUAGAUCUAGUCAAUCUCGAUCUACACUCUACACCUAGCUUACUGACAAUAAUAGAUUUAGAUCUAAAUACUAAUAAUACAGAUAUAAAUAUGCUAAAUUUAGACUUACCUUGAUCUAAUCUCUAUAUCUAGAUCAAAUACUUCAUUAUUACUAUUUAUUUGUGAUAAAUUUUAGAAUAAUUAUAAAGUGUCUUCAAUAGUAAACAUUGUGGGUG